GGAUCUGACCGCAGAGCGAGCGUUGAGGUCAUUCCGGGGAUAAAAGAGCGUCCGGUGGCAAACACAAGCUUUUACUGCACAUAAACAUGAGAUUUGAGACGCUCCGUGCAGACAAAAGGUGCGAAGAAGAGAUCUGCAGACGCUCACGUCAGCACCUGCAGACACUCGGCUCAUUAGGCUGAUUGGACGCAGGCUGUAGAAAGGCGACGUCUGCGCUGAGCUCACAUUAGAGGCGGUGGUCGGGUGAUCAGCGUGAGGAGUGUGUAGGAAUGGCCUGUGGAGUUCAUCUGGGGAUUUUGCUCGUUUGUUUGGUUCAGGCAGAGCGUGCACGCUGCUCCUGGUCUCAGCAAGCUCCGGCCUCCCAGAGACGCGGCGGCGGCGGGUACGCUGGCUCCGGCCCCCUCCAGGGUGAACUCAGACAGGCGCCUGUUUCCGCAGCCUCGGCCCACGGCGGUGGUUUGAGUGAGUGGACGCACGCGUCUGCUGACGGGCGGCAAACAAGCUGGCGGAGAGUGAAGGUUCAGAAACUGCCUCCAGCACAUCUGGACUGGUUUACUCCUAUUUCUAGCGGAAGCUCCAUCAACCAUUUUACUAGUAAAAAGACUAGUCACGAUCAGUCCAACCAGUAUCUGUUUAGCAAUGGUGUGUCUCCCAGUAAGACGUCAGACUCCCAGUCUCCAGCGCAGAGGCCUCAGGGUUCGGCUGCAGGGUCUCCGGGACCCGUGGGAGCAGAUGCGUCCUCUGAGGGUCAGACUUUGGCCUGUGGCCUUGGAAAAAGAGUGACUUCACGUCGUCGCCACGGGUCGUCUAAAGCCCCUCGUUUCCCCCCGCCUCCUAAUGAAAGGCCUCCGCAGAUCCCCGUCCGGCGAAACCCUCCCCAGAGCUCCACGCCUGCCUCCAACGCGGCCGUGAGCUGCGCGAGCUACGCUCCAGACUGGCCCCGCGGGCAAAGCGCCGCCAGGAGCCCGAGCAAGCGCGGCCGGUUCGGCUCGGCCUCUGGUGCGGGCUCUGGCCGGGCAAGCAGAACGUUCAGCAUCCCCCAGCGCCUGGGCGGACACGCCAUCAGGCGGCCGCCGGCGUGGAGCGAGCAGGAAGGCAGGAUCCUGAAGCCACAGCAGCCUGCGUCAUACAAGCCUCGGGGUCAGAAGGUCAGGUGGUACAAGGUCAAGCUGCGUCGCUGACCCACAGGUGCAGGAGUAAAAGAAUUGUUUUGAAAUAAAAGUUAAUUUAUGUAUUCCA
rnacentral:lncRNA from 1 species